rnacentral:tRNA from 1 species
GGGCCCGUAGCUCAGCCUGGAUGGAGCGGCGGAGGACUUGUGGUCCGCCGAGCCUGCGGAGCCGUAGGUCGUGGGUUCAAAUCCCACCGGGCCCG